GGAAGUGCUGCUACUGGCGCUGCGCCAACAAAAGUGCCUCUGUGAUCGGCUGAAUGGAAACGCAUUGGGCCAGUAGACCUACGGGCGCAGCGGUCCUCACAUUGGACAGUGAGGCGGCCAGGAAGCAGUGAUGACGGGCGGAGGUCGGUGACGGACGGCGGUGAUCGGUGACGGACUGCAGUGAUCGGUAGCGGACGUCGGAAUCGAGCACUUUGGGCCUCACAUUGGACAGUGAGGUGGUCUGGACGUGUUGAGGACGGACGCCAUAGACGACGGAGGUCGGUGAGCGGCCUCACAUUGGACAGUGAGGUGGUCUGGACGUGGUGCAGGUGAAGAUUGGACACUUCGAUGCAGACACUACGUCGGACAGUGGAGGAAAGUUCUUUCGGACCUAGAACGAGUAAAGCGAGAUUGACUGAAUCUCCCUCGAUCGCUGACUUGAUUUCAUCCGUGUCAUCUCCAAACACACCUGAUGAACACACAGAAAGUUUCCAGAACUCUCUGAAUCUCUGAUAGAGCUGAUUUCUGCUGCUGCUGGAACUCUGUUGAUUGUGGCGGCAGUUUUGAUGUUCUGCAUCUGCAGGAAAUGUAGAAAAACACAUCAAGAGGGCAAUUCCAGAAGAGGAUGAGGUGGUGUACGCAGGAUUAAUGACACGAUAAUCAAACACUCUUGAUUCGGUUUCCUCAGAAAUGAGUUUAUUAUCCUCUGGAUUAUCA